UCGACUUGAAUGCUAACCAAUUAACACGAGACCCACAAAUUGUGCAUCAGUGUUCUUUAGCGAUAGUGGAAAAUCAGGGUAGCUAAAAAUCUUUCUCCAACAACUAUCACCUAUACAAUAAACAUUUGUCUCCAAUUUACUAGUACAAUCAUAAUUCGAAAGCGCCACCACCUUGCAUAGAGGAAGUUAAAGGGUCAAAUAAUGUGUGCGUUGAAUAAUGAAAAUUAUGUAGCCUUUAAAUUAAUUUGCAUUUCAUUUCUCAAAUUAAACUGACUUAUUCGUACCAUCAUAAACACAACGGUGGCUAAAACAGACCAAGCCGUUACAUGAGCCAACCAUGCGGUACUUGACCUCCAAUGGGAUGCACCUGUGUUCAGCCAUGAACGACGGAUCCUCGAGCAAACGAUCCAUUCCACUGACG
rnacentral:lncRNA from 1 species